GUUGCAUCCCACUAUUUGAUAACUUACCAAAUUGAGCUGGUGUUUUUCUUGUUGCUUUCACCAGUCAGUUUUGUAAGUUACCAAAUGGCUGGAACCAACC